rnacentral:rRNA from 1 species
CCUACGGGUGGCAGCAGUGAGGAAUAUUGGGCAAUGGACGAGAGCCUGAACCAGCCAAGUCGCGUGAAUGAUGACGGCCCUACGGGUUGUAAACUUCUUUUGCCAGGGAGCAAUUGGUUCCACGCGUGGGCUUAGCGAGAGCACCUGAAGAAAAAGCAUCGGCUAACUCCGUGCCAGCAGACGCGGUAAUACGGGGGAUGCGAGCGUUAUCCGGGUUUAUUGGGGUUAAGGGGUGCUUGGGCGGAAUAUCAAGGCAGUGGUAAAAAUUCGGGGCUCAACCCCGUUGUGCCGUUGAAACUGAUGUUCUUGAGUGGGCGAGAGGUAUGCGGAAUGCGUGGUGUAGCGGUGGAAUGCAUAGAUAUCACGCAGAACUCCGAUUGCGAAGGCAGCAUACCGGAGCCCAACUGACGCUGAAGCACGAAAGCGUGGGUAUCGAACAGGAUUAGAUACCCCGGUAGUC